AACGAACGCUGGCGGCAUGCUUAACACAUGCAAGUCGAACGAGACCUUCGGGUCUAGUGGCGCACGGGUGCGUAACGCGUGGGAACCUGUCCUUAGGUUCGGAAUAACUCCCCGAAAGGGGUGCUAAUACCGGAUAAUGUCUUCGGACCAAAGAUUUAUCGCCUUUGGAUGGGCCCGCGUUGGAUUAGAUUGUUGGUAGGGUAAAAGCCUACCAAGGCGACGAUCCAUGGCUGGUCUGAGAGGAUGAUCAGCCACACUGGGGCUGAGAAACGGCCCAGACUUCUACGGGAGGCAGGCGAUGGGAAUAUUGGACAAUGGGCGAAAGCCUGAUCCAGCAAUGCCGCGUAAGUGAUGAAGGCCUUAGGGUUGUAAAGCUCUUUUACACGGGGUGAAAAUGACAGUACCGGGAGAAUAAGCUCCGGCUAACUCCGUG
rnacentral:rRNA from 1 species